UACGAAGGGGGCUAGCGUUGUUCGGAAUCACUGGGCGUAAAGGGCGCGUAGGCGGCUUUAUAAGUCGGGGGUGAAAGCCUGUGGCUCAACCACAGAAUUGCCUUCGAUACUGUAUGGCUAGAGACCGGAAGAGGUAAGUGGAACUGCGAGUGUAGAGGUGAAAUUCGUAGAUAUUCGCAAGAACACCAGUGGCGAAGGCGGCUCACUGGUCCGGUACUGACGCUGAGGUGCGAAAGCGUGGGGAGCAAACAGG
rnacentral:rRNA from 1 species